rfam:Firmicutes bacterium CAG:194 genomic scaffold, scf48
UGAUGUCAGGGUCAAAGGUCAUAAAACACGAUGUGCUUGCACAGGAGUGUUUAUAUGACUUAUUGACCCGCCCAAUAUGAGCAUAAAAGGGAAGCGUAAGCUUCACGAUAUGCGAAUAUUGGGUAGGAUUGUGAGAGUGCGAAGCACGGAACAAUCCGUAUGACAUCA